rnacentral:rRNA from 1 species
UACGUGAGGGGCAAGCGUUGUCCGGAUUUAUUGGGCGUAAAGAGCGUGUAGGCGGCCUGGAAGGUCAGCUGUGAAAACUCGAGGCUCAACCUCGAGACGUACGGUUGCAAACCACCUGGGCUAGAGUCCGGAAGAGGAGAAUGGAAUUCCCGGUGUAAGCGGUGAAAUGCGCAGAUAUCGGGAAGAACACCGUGGCGAAGGCGGUCUCUGGGACGGUACUGACGCUGAGACGACGAAAGCGUGGGGAGCGAACAGG